rnacentral:rRNA from 1 species
GAAAGCUGGGGGGGAGGAGCGGCGUGAAGACGGCGGGGGGGACCGUGGUGCGGAAUUACGGGGCGUAAAGGGCGCGUAGGCGGGGCGGGAAGUCAACGGUGAAAGUUCAGGGCUCAACCCUGAAUCGGCCGUCGAUACUCUCGUGCUCGAGCUCUGGAGAGGCGUGUGGAAUUCCGGGUGUAGCGGUGAAAUGCGUAGAGAUACGGAAGAACACCGGUGGCGAAGGCGGCCGGCUGGGCAGUAGCUGACGCUGAGGCGCGACAGCGUGGGGAGCAAACAGGAUUAGAUACCCGGGUAGUC